GAAUUUUGAUUAACGCUCGGUUUAUCCGAGCCAACUGGAAG
rfam:Pluralibacter gergoviae strain JS81F13 contig_30, whole genome shotgun sequence.